rnacentral:guide_RNA from 1 species
AUAACAAUCCAUAGCAGAUAGACGUGAUAUUAUUGAUGAUAAUUAU